rnacentral:snRNA from 1 species
GUGGCUUACUUCCACAGCACAUAUACUAAAGUGGGAAGAAUACAAAGGAGAUUAGUAUGGCCCUGAGCAAGGAUGACGCAGUUUGUGAAAUCACUAAAUUAU